GGGAUGACGCUGUGCGCCAGACGCACGGCGCCCCGUUCCUUGAU
rnacentral:sRNA from 1 species